rnacentral:rRNA from 1 species
CAGCCGCCGCGGGAAUACGAAGGGUGCAAGCGUUACUCGGAAUUACUGGGCGUAAAGCGUGCGUAGGUGGUGGUUUAAGUCCGUUGUGAAAGCCCUGGGCUCAACCUGGGAAUUGCAGUGGAUACUGGGUCACUAGAGUGUAGUAGAGGAUAGUGGAAUUUCCGGUGUAGCAGUGAAAUGCGUAGAGAUCGGAAGGAACAUCUGUGGCGAAGGCGACUAUCUGGGCCAACACUGACACUGAGGCACGAAAGCGUGGGGAGCAAACAGGAUUAGAUACCCGGGUAGUCCCUGUCUCUUAUAC